AUUGAACGCUGGCGGCAGGCCUAACACAUGCAAGUCGAGCGAGCGGCGGACGGGUGAGGAAUGUCUGGGAAACUGCCUGAUGGCGGGGGAUAACUACUGGAAACGGUAGCUAAUACCGCAUACCAUCAGAUGUGCCCAGAUGGGAUUAGCUAGUAGGUGGGGUAACGGCUCACAUAGGCGACGAUCCCUAGCUGGUCUGAGAGUAUGACCAGCCACACUGGAACUGAGACACGCUCCAGACUCCUACGUGAGGCAGCAGUGGGGAAUAUUGCACAAUGGGCGCAAGCCUGAUGCAGCCAUGCCGCGUGUGUGAAGAAGGCCUUCGGGUUGUAAAGCACUUUCAUCGGGGAGGCGUUACCUACAGAAUAAGCACCGGCUAACUCCGUGCCAGCAGCCGCGGUAAUUC
rnacentral:rRNA from 1 species